CUAUACUGCAAGUCGAGCGGACAGAUGGGAGCUUGCUCCCUGAUGUUAGCGGCGGACGGGUGAGUAACACGUGGGUAACCUGCCUGUAAGACUGGGAUAACUCCGGGAAACCGGGGCUAAUACCGGAUGGUUGUUUGAACCGCAUGGUUCAGACAUAAAAGGUGGCUUCGGCUACCACUUACAGAUGGACCCGCGGCGCAUUAGCUAGUUGGUGAGGUAACGGCUCACCAAGGCGACGAUGCGUAGCCGACCUGAGAGGGUGAUCGGCCACACUGGGACUGAGACACGGCCCAGACUCCUACGGGAGGCAGCAGUAGGGAAUCUUCCGCAAUGGACGAAAGUCUGACGGAGCAACGCCCCGUGAGUGAUGAAGGUUUUCGGAUCGUAAAGCUCUGUUGUUAGGGAAGAACAAGUGCCGUUCAAAUAGGGCGGCACCUUGACGGGACCUAACCAGAAAGCCACGGCUAACUACGUGCCAGCAGCCGCGGUAAUACGUAGGUGGCAAGCGUUGUCCCGAAUUAUUGGGCGUAAAGGGCUCGCAGGCGGGUUCUUAAGUCUGAUGUGAAA
rnacentral:rRNA from 1 species